rnacentral:rRNA from 1 species
CCUACGGGAGACAGCAGUGAGGAAUAUUGGUCCAUGGGCGCGAGCCUGAACCAGCCAAGUAGCGUGAAGGAUGACUGCCCUACGGGUUGUAAACUUCUUUUAUAAAGGAAUAAAGUGAGGCACGUGUGCCUUUUUGUAUGUACUUUAUGAAUAAGGAUCGGCUAACUCCGUGCCAGCAGCCGCGCUAAUACGGUGGGUCCGAGCGUUAUCCGGAUUUAUUGGGGUUAAAGGGAGCGUAGAUGGGUUGUUAAGUCAGUUGUGAAAGUUUGCGGCUCAACCGUAGAAUUGCAGUUGAUACUGGCAGGCUUGAGUACAGUUGAGGUAGGCGGAAUUCGUGGUGUAGCGGUGAAAUGCUUAGAUAUCACGAAGAACUCCGAUUGCGAAGGCAGCUUACUAAACUGCAACUGACAUUGAUGCUCGAAAGUGUGGGUAUCAAACAGGAUUAGAUACCCCUGUAGUC